rnacentral:tRNA from 1 species
GAAGUAUUAGUAAAACAAUUACAUAACUUUGUCANAGUUAAAUUAUAGGCUCGAGUCCUANAUACUUCC